UGUGCUGUUCUUUGAGUCCAUCUCCAUUAUCAGCAGCUGCUACAUCAGCUGCUAACUUUCACCUCAACCACAGGCUGGAGAUAAUUAGGCCAUUCUGCCGCUGGGACAGUGGCCUGAUGUUGUAAUGAUCGGGAGCAGCUUUUAUAUCGGCGUCGACCAAAAGAGAAACAAUACAAUAACAACAGAGCAGUGCCACGUGACAGUCCUGAGCAGCAUCGUGGUGUGAUGGCAGCAGUGACUCAGGGUCGACGGGGGCGCUCUGCUUUGGCCUGGAGACGCUAUAAUAAGGCCAGUGUUUACAAGUGGCGCUGAAAUGGGUUUGUGAGUGUGGCUGAACCUGUGAGGUAUUGACACGGGGGUUAACUGCCUAUUGCCCUCUUUAACGGAGCUGAAUCGGGCCAAGCAGCAGGCAGUGUCAGCCCACAGGAGACCAACAUCUCCAUUUACAAAGUCAUCGCCUAUAUGAGAUCCUGACUUCCUCCCUUUGUGUGAUUUUCCCUCCGCUGAGAUGGCUAACCCCGCCCCUCACUGUUUUCACCUGUGUUCCCCUACCUCACGUAUAUGAAUAGUCCUCGUCUCGCUCUCGCGUGUCUUGUGUCAGUUCGUUUCUGUCUGUCUUGUUUCUCAGUGCUGUCGUCCAAGAACCGCAUCAUCAAGUAUAAGUUGAGUAUACGUUUUUGAUCCUCGUUGAGAGCGUCUAUUGUUUGUGGAAUAAAUUCCUUUUGUUUUACCCUAGUUUGGAGUCGAGCAUUUGAGUCCUGUGCAGUGCAGCAGAAUAUACCACAGCUGUUGUGAUGAAGUGUUCUUGAACAAAGAAACAAAGCCUCUGUUAAGACACAGGCUGAAAGUCAAAAUGAUGAUUUGCAUUUUAACCCAAUAAUCUCCAAAGGGAUAAUUCACUUUUUGAAGGGUGGUUGUAUAAGGUACUGACGCUUUGAAACAGGUGUAGAUUUGAUUGGUGAGUUGAUUAGGUGGCUAAGUGAGUAGCUCAAAUCUGUUUUCCCUUCUGCUCCUGCUGGCAGACAUUUUAUCAGUGACAACAAAUGUGAGUGUUGAUAAUGUGUCAACACAACCACGACACCAAACUUGAACCAUUUCUUUAAUCUUGCUUCAAAUUGAGGUCAACACUACUUUGUUGUUAAUUGAUCUGGCUAGCGGCUAGCACUGUUGCCUCACAGCAAAAAGGCCCGCGGGAUUGCAACCCAGUUCAAUCAAGAGUAUGGAGUUUGCAUGUCCUCCCCAUUAGCGUGUGGGUUUUCUACAGCUUCUCUGGUUUCCUCCCACAGCCCAGUUGACAAUGAAUGAAUGAAUUAUCUUUUAUCAUAGAGACUCUGUAUAUUCAUAUUAGUAGAUUCUGUUUUUAGAAGGUAUUCCACAAAAGAAUAUAAAGAAUAGGCAAAAUCAUCCACAUUUACCGUCUUGCUUUAAAAUGUUCUCAAAAUCCAAACCCUCAUGCAGUUAGUUUGCAUGAAUAUUAGACUUAAAUCUAAUUAUUAGAAACGUUUAAAUUCUUAGUGCCAAGUGUUAGCAGAUCAAAAAUACUCAGCAACAGGUUUCAAAUUUCCCAAUUGACAUCAAGACGCAUGGGUUCCAUGUUAAGAUAAGAUAAGAUGAGAUUAGAUCAGACAGUCCUUUAUGUGUCCGGCAGUGGGGAAAUGUACAUAUUUAUAUUGUUACAGCAGCUAAGAUA